rnacentral:rRNA from 1 species
UACAGAGGUCUCAAGCGUUGUUCGGAUUCAUUGGGCGUAAAGGGUGCGUAGGCGGCGCGGUAAGUCGGGGUGUGAAAUCUCGGAGCUUAACUCCGAAACUGCAUUCGAUACUGCCGUGCUUGAGGACUGGAGAGGAGACUGGAAUUUACGGUGUAGCAGUGAAAUGCGUAGAUAUCGUAAGGAAGACCAGUGGCGAAGGCGGGUCUCUGGACAGUUCCUGACGCUGAGGCACGAAGGCCAGGGGAGCAAACGGG